rnacentral:misc_RNA from 1 species
AAUAGUAAACCUUAUUCCUGAACUCAAGUGCAAAUGCAAAACAUUCACUCAGUCUUACUAAACCUUUACUUUACAUGAGUACCUACAACACUCGGUCUUCCUCAAGUGGUACAUUCAGAACAACUUUCUAUAGCAAGGCUAGUACUGGAGAUAGUAGCAUAACAUAGCUAGAAAGAACACAAGUCAAGAAAGUAUGCACACGUAUACAUCACACACUAUAUUAUUUGGGCAACUGGUCUUACAGUGCUAGCAUAGAUGCCAA